AAUAAGUGCAGUUUUAUACUAUUCACAUUCAAUGUUUGAUCGUUCGUCUUAUUUCAAAAUUUUUUAUGAUUAGUAUUUUUAUUGCUAUUAGAUGAUAAAAUAUGAAUAGUACUUUAUAUGUGACUAAAUAUUUUUAAUUUUUUCAUAAAUUUUUUAAAUAAGACGAACGGUCAAACGUUAGACACGAAUAUCCAUGGCUGCACUUAUU
rfam:Oryza sativa Japonica Group DNA, chromosome 11, cultivar: Nipponbare, complete sequence.